UUGGCGGACGGGUGAGUAACGCGUGGGUAACCUGCCUUACACAGGGGGAUAACACUUAGAAAUAGGUGCUAAAACCGCAUAAGCGCACAGCUUCGCAUGAAGCGGUGUGAAAAACUCCGGUGGUGUAAGAUGGACCCGCAUCUGAUUAGCUUGUUGGCGGGGUAACGGCCCACCAAGGCGACGAUCAGUAGCCGGCCUGAGAGGGCGGACGGCCACAUUGGGACUGAGACACGGCCCAGACUCCUACGGGAGGCAGCAG
rnacentral:rRNA from 1 species